UCUCCCUCUCUCAAAAUAAGUGAAUAAAAAAAAAACAAGCAAACAAACAAACGUGUAAUCUAGAGCAAUGCCACUUUUGGAAACGAAAAAUCGCGACUGACUUGUGAGCACGGCGAUAAAGACGCCUUGUGUUAAGGCCACUUCUCCAACACGCUUGUGACCUAGCUUUCAUUAUUCAAUGGGUUCCCUCAGUGUGUAUUUCAUUGUAUGCAAAUUCCGAUCUGGAGGAACGCUUUGUAAUCGCGUUUCCGUUCGUUAAGGUCUCUUGCUCAGUUGGCAACCUUCCUUCUUCCUUGACCGGGGCCUCUGUUUCGGGCACCGCCAAUCCAGUGUCUCCUCGGAACAAACCGCUUCAGGGAAGGCGGGGCCACUCCUUCACGAGCUCGACUGGAAGUGGAAAAUCAUGGUUGCGGAGGAAGUAAGUGCAAAGGUCAGGAAAAUACGGAUUCAGAGUCGAAUCCUCAUGUUUUUGCUUUUCUGGAAGGAAACGGCAACUGGGAUCAGACAAUGGGAUUUUGAAGGAAAACAUGAGAGGCUGAUAUUUCAAUUGUGACACGGGACCUUAGGACAAUCUUCUACGCUUCCUCACCGCAGAGGGGCCAGCCAUCUCUCGAAGCCCUUCAGCACCUGCUCGUCUUCUCUGAAACUUCAAGAUGGAAUGACGAAAUGGACACUCGUGGCAUUCCAGGCCGGGAAAUUAUAGCCCAUGUUACUAAAAGAAACUCGUCAGAUCAGAUCACCCAAACUGCUAUGGGUGGUCUUUGUGAACCACGGAAAACCUAAGUGGUUUGGAAAACUGGAGACCAACAAAUGGAGUUCAGAUUUCCAACCAAGAAAGAAGAUGGGGUCUGCAACUGAAGAAGCUUCCAGAAAGCCUGGUGGAAGAUCAAAGGGCUGGCGUGUGAGCACCUAGAAGAGGAAACCACAGACCUAACAGCCAGCGUGGGCUCACCACGAGCAAGUUCUACGCGAUUAACUUCAUCCAGAAUGCUGACAGCACGGCGUCUGGCAAGAGAAAGGACACGAAUAGACUGCGAUUUGUUGAUCAUCUCCCCUAAGCGGGACGUUCACAUUGAUUUUAGUUUCUGGCUACUGUGAAGAAGUACAGACACGCCCUCCAAGUUGACACCAGUGGCCAGGCAAAUGGAAUCAGGAGUCAGGCACUGGGAAAGAAGAAAGAAGGGCAGGAGCAGAACCCAGAAGACCGGAAUUAACGCCCAGAACCGGGCUCUGGGGACAGCACAGCAGGAGGCAGCUGCUGAAGAUUGGAGGAAAGGGACCUCUGCGGGCUCAGCAAGGGGAUCCCGAGAGGCCUCCGCAGACCUCAGACCCAUAGCAACUAGAGUCCAAGACGACAGGGGUUUCUGCCCUCUUGCUCCUGAAUCCCAAGCGGUGCCUGGCACGGCACGGGGUGGGUGCUGGUGGCCCAGGGCGGAAUGGAGGAGCGCACCAAGGAACCAAAGGCACGCACAGCUAGACCACACUGGAGACAGACACGGUGGAGACCGUCGGAGGUUAGACGUGGUUAGAUGAGGUCACGAAGGUGGGUCCCCCCACCCCCCGCCCCCCCGUCAUGGGAUUAACGCCUUUAGAAGAAGAGAAAGAGACAGGAAAUCGGUCCCUCCGCCACGUGAGGCUGCAAGGAGGAGACAUCUGUCCGAAAACAAAGAAAAAGCAGUGCUCUCUCCAGACCCUGGGUCUGCUGCUACCUCGAUCUUGGACUCUCCAGUUCUUCAGAACUGAGAGACACGUGCAAUUAUUGUCGAAGCCCCUGGGUGUAAGGUGUUCUGCGAGAUCAGCCCGAAUGACCAAGACGAGUCUGGUCCUCAUGGCGGAAGCACGUUGCGGAUCAGCACAUCGGCAAUAAGGGCAAGUCAUUUCUGGAGCGACCACGGAAGGACAAAGCACACCCGGAAGCAUGAGUGUUGCCUUGUGGAAGAAGGGAAGCCAGUGUUAAUAGCAUGAACAUCGGUGUCAGCCAGACCUCAGUUCAAGUCCAGCCCUGUCUCUCCUUGACUGUAUGAACUUGGUGAGUUACUUAACCACCGAAACCACGUUUUCUUCAUUGGAGAUGAGAAAGACCUCACUGGCUUGUCAUGGGGAUUAAAUGAGAUAAAAUAUUUUCCUGUACUAUUCUUAACGCAAUUCCUGGCAACUGCUCAACAAAGGAUAGUCGUUCCCGUUGUUGUCUGGUGUACUUUCUUCCCUGUAUCAUUUUUAAUUGUCAGUAUUCUCGUGGAUAAGGUUCUAGGGGAGAAAGAUGUGGAAAGUGGGACUUUGUACAAAUAAGGAGAGGAAGAUUAAUGAGUUGAGGGUGGCUUAUUCCUUCUGCCUGUCCGUGUUUCUUUCUGCUGCAGGAAUGAGCUUGUCUUUUCAAUCGUUGCUCCAAAGGGGAGCAGAACAAUCCCCAGAGGUUCCCCCCCCCCCCCCAGUCAAGGCUCUGACACUGGCCCCUCUUGACUUGGUUCUGGGGCCCAGCACCCAUUGGGAACACUAGUCUUGGCAUCUUCCCAGGCAGAGGACCACAGCCUGACCAUUGGAUGUAUAGAUCUGAAUCUCAGGAGAAAGGGAUUGAGCUGGGGACCUGCAUUUGGGAAUCUAUAGGUGAAAGGCCUAACUCAUGACGGUGGGAAUGCACAGGGAGUGUGUAUGGUAGAAACAGGACCUGAGUGAAGUUCUGGGAGCACCAACA